GACGAACGCUGGCGGCGUGCCUAACACAUGCAAGUCUGGGGGCGGGGCGACCCGUUACCGGCGAACGGGUGCGGAACACGCGAGCGACUUGCCCUGUGUUUGGGGGAUAGUCGGCCCAACGGCCGGGUAAUACCGCAUACCUCCCGCGCUUUGAGACGCUGGGAGAAAGCCCGGAAGGGCGCACGACGAUGGGGUAGCGGCCUAUCAGCUAGUUGGGGGGGUAACGGCCCACCAAGGCGAAGACGGGUAGCCGGUCUGAGAGGAUGGCCAGGCACGGAGGGACUGAGAAGCGGCCCAGGCGCGUAAGGGGGGGAGAAGUGGGGAAACUUGCGGAAUGGGCGACAGAGUGACGCAGCGACGCCGCGGAGGGGCUGAGGCCCUUAAGGGUGUAUACUCCUGUAGCACGGGACGAACGGCGAGCAUCGGCCCGCUUGACGGUACCGGGUGAGGAAGCACCGGCUAACUCUGUG
rnacentral:rRNA from 1 species